rnacentral:rRNA from 1 species
AACGUAGGACGCAAGCGUUAUCCGGAAUUACUGGGCGUAAAGCGCGUGUAGGCGGAUCAUUAAGUCACUGGUGAAAGCACCGGGCUAAACUCGGUGAGGUUCGGUGAGACUGGUGGUCUGGAGUAUGUCAGAGGGGUGCGGAAUUCCGGGUGUAGUGGUGAAAUGCGUAGAGAUCCGGAGGAACACCAGAGGCGAAGGCGGCACCCUGGGACAAAACUGACGCUGAGACGCGAAAGCAUGGGGAGCAAACAGG